rnacentral:rRNA from 1 species
CACGUAGGGGGCGAGCGUUGUCCGGAUUUAUUGGGCGUAAAGAGCUCGUAGGCGGUUUGAUAAGUCGGGUGUGAAAUCUCCAGGCUCAACCUGGAGCUGCCACUCGAUACUGUCAUGACUUGAAUUCGGUAGGGGACCACGGAAUUCCUGGUGUAGCGGUGAAAUGCGUAGAGAUCGGGAGGAACAUCUGAGGCGAAGGCGGCGACCUGGACAGUGACUGACACUCAACUACGAAAGCGUGGGGAUCAAACAGG